GCACUUCAUUCCUGCACAGGCAGAAUCAUCUGGCUUCUGCAAAGCAGUCGCGCAGCGCUGUAGGCUGCAAUUACACGGCGGCGUUUCCGAAAUGACCUGGCACAGUGCGCGGCGCCUCACAUAGGCCCAGGGCCGCGGCCAGCGCUGAGCAGACUGGUGACUAGAAGCAGCUCCCCGUCGGGCUGCACCCUCCCUCUGUCCCUCGCGGGGGCAUCUGCAGAAGGGCACUGAAUGCGCUCCCCACCCCAGGAAACCCAGCCCCUCCACUCUUCCAGGAAGGAGCGUCGUCAUGGCCACACAGGCAGGGAAUAACUGAUGCACAGAAUUCAGCCGGGCCGCACUCAGCACCGCGCUCUCCAGAUGCAAACGGACACACGCAAACCGGCCCCAGACUCGAGAAUUCGUCCGCAGAGAUGCAUCCACUACAACUCAAACAUCAUUCCACCUUAAAAACCCUGCUUAAUGACAUCAGCCCUGCUCUGCCGGUUUUGUGGCCUCUUUGACACAGGCCGAGAUCCUCCCUUCUCUGGCCUCCCCGCUGGCUGCCAGAUCUCACCAAGCCACAAGUUACAGACGCAGGGUGCAACUGAGGAACAUGAUCAGUGAAGGAAGAAAUAAGGAAGGGGGAGCUUUACGAGUCCAGCUAAAAACAAGAGGACAAACUAGCCAGACCCCUCGGAGAAGCAGGCUCCUCAUUUCACGAAAUCGGCCGUUUCCUUCAGCAGCUCCCCUGACCCCCGUUACAGUCUGUGACGAUGACGAGAGACACGCCUGCUGCCCUGCUCAGUGGGGAACACACCGGCCCCGCGUGCGUAUUUCGCUGUUUCUGACUUCACACAAAGAACUGUUGUUAUGUUUCCAUCACUUACACGCAGCAACCAGCAUUCAAUGUUGUGCUCUCAAAGUCUGUUUAAAGUUGGCUGCUUGCAAACUGGGCCAUAGUUUCUGACAAAAAUGAUGCUGGUAAGCUAACUCCCAGGCCGAGAAUGCCCAUGCUGUGGGCAAAAGAACAGUGCCCGCCCCUGGGUUGUCUGAGCAGAAGCUGGAUUGUGUGCCUGGAGCCCUGUCGCCCUCAGCCAGACCCGGGGUCGAGGCUGGGCCGGCUCUCCGGGAGCAUCAGGGAUCCGGUUGGAGAGAGGCUCAUACGGCGGUCCCAGGGGCCACCUCGAGGGGGUUGACCGGAGCUGGGUCUGGGAGCUGCAGCAGAGGGAAGGCGGCAUGAGGAGAGAGCCGCAGGUGGGGCGUGUGCACAAAGUGCAGGUGUGUGGAGGCCCUGUGGGUUUACAUUGCCCUGAGGCACCACUUCACGAUCAC
rnacentral:lncRNA from 1 species